UACGAAGGGGGCUAGCGUUGCUCGGAAUUACUGGGCGUAAAGCGUGCGCAGGCGGCUUUGCAAGACAGAUGUGAAAUCCCCGGGCUUAACCUGGGAACUGCAUUUGUGACUGCAUGGCUAGAGUGCGGCAGGAGGGGGAUGGAAUUCCGCGUGUAGCAGUGAAAUGCGUAGAUAUGCGGAGGAACACCGAUGGCGAAGGCAAUCCCCUGGGCCUGCACUGACGCUCAUGCACGAAAGCGUGGGGAGCAAACAGG
rnacentral:rRNA from 1 species